rnacentral:rRNA from 1 species
GCGUGGGGAGCGAACCGGAUUAGAUACCCGGGUAGUCCACGCCCUAAACGAUGGAUGCUAGGUGUGGGGGUGUAAACCUCCGUGCCGCAGCUAACGCAUUNAAGCAUCCCCGCCUGGGGAGUAUGGUCGCAAGACUGAAACUCAAAGGAAUUGGCGGGGGCCCGCACAAGCGGUGGAGCAUGUGGUUUAAUUCGAUGCUAAGCGAAGAACCUUACCAGGGUUUGACAUGCUGGAUUAAGCCUAUGUGAAAGCAUGGGGUGAUGUGGGGCUUGUCUCCACAUGGCCAGCACAGGUGCUGCAUGGCUGUCGUCAGCUCGUGCCGUGAGGUGUCCGGUUAAGUCCGGUAACGAGCGCAACCCCUAUCACUAGUUGCCAGCAUUAAGGUGGGCACUCUAGAGAGACUGCCGGCGACAAGCCGGAGGAAGGCGGGGAUGACGUCAAGUCAGCAUGGCCCUUAUGUCCUGGGCUACACACAUGCUACAAUGGCGAGCACAACGGGUUGCGAACCCGCGAGGGGGAGCUAAUCUCAUCAAAGUUCGUCUCAGUUCGGAUUGCAGGCUGCAACUCGCCUGCAUGAAGCUGGAAUCGCUAGUAAUCGCGGAUCAGCCACGCCGCGGUGAAUACGUUCCCGGGCCUUGCACACACCGCCCGUCACACCACGAAAGUUGGUUCUACCCGAAGUGGCUGAGCUAACCCGCAAGGGAGGCAGGCUCCGAAGGUAGGGCUGAUGAUUGGGGUGAAGUCGUAACAAGGUAGCCGUAGCGGAAGCUGCGGCUGGAUCAC